UGGCAGUAACAUAGACUUGAAGGGAGUCUCUGAGAUGGAUACUAGUAAGAGUCUUCGCCUUAAUCCUGUCAUUGGCCUCAUUUAGUCCUUCAUACUCUAUGAAGGUGGACUGAGGUUCCAUCAUCCCAAACGGCACCCUAUUCCCAUCAUAGUGCACUACGUUUGAUCAGAGCCCUAUGGGUAGUAGUGCACUACGUUUGAUCAGAGCCCUAUGGGUAGUAGUGCACUACGUUUGAUCAGAGCCCUAUGGGAAGUAGUGCACUACGUUUGAUCAGAGCCCUAUGGGUAGUAGUGCACUACGUUUGAUCAGAGCCCUAUGGGUAGUAGUGCACUACGUUUGAUCAGAGCUCUAUGGGUUGUAGUGCACUACGUUUGAUCAGAGCCCUAUGGGUAGUGGUGCACUACGUUUGAUCAGAGCCCUAUGGGAAGUAGUGCACUACGUUUGAUCAGAGCCCUAUGGGUAGUAGUGCACUACGUUUGAUCAGAGCCCUAUGGGUAGUAGUGCACUACGUUUGAUCAGAGCCCUAUGGGUAGUAGUGCACUACGUUUGAUCAGAGCCCUAUGGGAAGUAGUGCACUACGUUUGAUCAGAGCCCUAUGGGUAGUAGUGCACUACGUUUGAUCAGAGCCCUAUGGGAAGUAGUGCACUACGUUUGAUCAGAGCCCUAUGGGUAGUAGUGCACUACGUUUGAUCAGAGCCCUAUGGGAAGUAGUGCACUACGUUUGAUCAGAGCCCUAUGGGAAGUAGUGCACUACGUUUGAUCAGAGCCCUAUGGGAAGUAGUGCACUACGUUUGAUCAGAGCCCUAUGGGAAGUAGUGCGCUGUCUAGGGAACAGGGUGCCAUUUGGGAGGCAACCUGAGUCUGUUUCUGGAUCUGAAUAGGAUAUUGAUUCAUCAGCACAGUGAGGUCUGAAAUCAUCUAGUCUAAUUAGUCAUCGGAAUGGAUGGACGGUUGGUGAGCUGAAAGAAGAUACAGACAGUUGUCAAAGUUUACAACAAUUACUUCAAAGUCUUUCAAAGGAAAAUCUCCAGAUAAUAUAUUCUGGAUCUCUUCCAUGUGAUUUUCAAUAUGAAUAAAUUGUGAAUUUAAUGACAUUGGGUACAGAUGUUGUCCGUCGAUCCCGAUAUCGCAAAUCAACACAUAAGCAGAGUUCACCGUUUUCCCUGAGCUCUCGGUCACACAACUCUCUGUUACAAUGGAACUGAUAAUUGUCUGGCAAGGUUAAGAGAGUAACAUGUCUUAACAUGUGCAUCUUUAAAGAAGUGUUUAUACUUCUAAGGUGCAAAUGAAAAAUGAUUUAUUUCUAACGUGCAAAUAAAGAGCCUGUAAAAAAAUAAAAAAUAACAAGCAUUAUUUGUCCCUCUGUGUCAGGAUGAAAUGAUCCAUGGGACUGAGGAGACCUGCUGGAAUGUAUUGUGAUGCAGAGAUGCUGUCACAGCAGAUGUAGCUUCCAGCUCCAGAUUAAGGUGCCCGAGAUUGGAAGAAUAAUUCCAAAUGUUGGAAUUGGCUCAGCCCCAGCAUCCAUCAGUCCAGAAGGAGGAACGCUAGAAAAGGGCAGCAGGAAGGCAUCUUUCUUCCGGACGGUCCAGAGGGGAAGCCGG